AUUGAACGCUGGCGGCAUGCCUAACACAUGCAAGUCGAACGAGUGGCGGACGGGUGAGUAAUGUAUGAGAACGUGCCUAAUAGAGGGAUCUAACUACUGGAAACGGUGGCUAAUACCGCAUACCAUCCGAUCGGCCGAGGUGGUAUUAGCUAGUUGGUGGGGUAACGGCUCACCAAGGAGACGAUGCCUAGCUGGUCUGAGAGGAUGACCAGCCACACUGGAACUGAGACACGGUCCAGACUCCUACGGGAGGCAGCAGUGGGGAAUAUUCGGCAAUGGGCGAAAGUCUGAUGGAGCCAUGCCGCGUGUAUGAAGAAGGUCUUCGGAUUGUAAAGUACUUUUGGCGGGGAAGCGGUAUCUGCAGAAGAAGCAACGGCUAACUACGUGCCAGCAGCCGCGGUAAUAC
rnacentral:rRNA from 1 species